rnacentral:rRNA from 1 species
UACGGAGGAUCCGAGCGUUAUCCGGAUUUAUUGGGUUUAAAGGGUGCGCAGGCGGGGGAUUAAGUCGGCGGUGAAAUUUUGCAGCUCAACUGUAAAAGUGCCUUCGAAACUGGUUUCCUUGAGUGUAGAUGAAGUAGGCGGAAUUUGUGGUGUAGCGGUGAAAUGCAUAGAUAUCACGAGGAACUCCGAUUGCGCAGGCAGCUUACUAAACUACUACUGACGCUCAGGCACGAAGGCGUGGAGAUCAAACAGGAUUAGAUACCCCCGUAGUCCCU